rnacentral:sRNA from 1 species
UGUCUCUCUCUGGCCGUCCGUGGCGACGAGAGAACUACCAUCCACAAAGAGGAUUCGGUCAGGCUUCGGGAGGGCUUGAUAGGAAAGUCCCGACGUGGAGGAGUCAGCUCGUGCAGGAGUUGAGGGCAGGAAUGGGAGGGUUCUG